AUACGGAGGGUGCGAGCGUUGUCCGGAAUUACUGGGCGUAAAGAGCUCGUAGGUGGUUUGUCGCGUCGUCUGUGAAAUUCCGGGGCUUAACUCCGGGCGUGCAGGCGAUACGGGCAUAACUUGAGUACUGUAGGGGAGACUGGAAUUCCUGGUGUAGCGGUGAAAUGCGCAGAUAUCAGGAGGAACACCGGUGGCGAAGGGGGGUCUCUGGGCAGUAACUGACGCUGAGGAGCGAAAGCAUGGGUAGCGAACAGGAUUAGAUACCCUGGUAGUCCAUGCCGUAAACGGUGGGCGCUAGGUGUAGGGGUCUUCCACGACUUCUGUGCCGUAGCUAACGCAUUAAGCGCCCCGCCUGGGGAGUACGGCCGCAAGGCUAAAACUCAAAUGAAUUGACGGGG
rnacentral:rRNA from 1 species